GUAGAGCAGAGGACUGAAAAUCCUCGU
rnacentral:tRNA from 1 species